UGAGGAAUCUUGCGCAAUGGGGGAAACCCUGACGCAGCAACGCCGCGUGAGUGAGGAAGACCUUCGGGUCGUAAAGCUCUGUCGGGUGGAAAGAAACGUAUAGAUGCUAAUAUCGUCUAUGCUUGACGGUACCGCCAAAGGAAGCACCGGCUAACUCCGUGCCAGCAGCCGCGGUAAUACGGGGGGUGCAAGCGUUGUUCGGAAUCAUUGGGCGUAAAGAGCGUGUAGGCGGCUGGAUAAGUCAGAUGUGAAAUCCCUGGGCUCAACCCAGGAAGUGCAUUUGAAACUGUUCGGCUAGAGUAGGGGAGAGGGAAGUGGAAUUCCUGGUGUAGAGGUGAAAUUCGUAGAUAUCAGGAGGAACACCGGUGGCGAAGGCGACUUCCUGGCCCUAUACUGACGCUGAGACGCGAGAGCGUGGGGAGCAAACA
rnacentral:rRNA from 1 species